rnacentral:tRNA from 2 species
GGAGAGGUGUCCGAGCGGUUUAAGGUGCUGCUCUCGAAAAGCAGUGUGGUUAAUAGCCACCGCGGGUUCGAAUCCCGCCCUCUCCG